rnacentral:rRNA from 1 species
AUGGAAGGCCUUCUGCAUUGGGACUUUGCCCCGGGCUUGGCAUUGGCACACCAGGUGAGAAGAAGAUUUGGGUCUACAAUUCAUUUCUCUCCCUCCCGAGACACCAAGGAGUUCUUUCUGGUGGUCUCCUUCUCGUCGGCAUCCUUUCCCCUCACAACUGAUUCUGUGGGGGUUGCCCUUCAAUGCUGUCUUGGA